CACAUUGCCAAGCCCUCCCUCCCCCCAGGCCCUAUACCAGCCAGAGAGGCUGGAGGGUACAGUGGAGGGCUGUAAGGAGAUGGGGAAGAUGCCCACCUCGGGCAAUGGGUGCCACAUGGCUCGCUGAGAUGAGCCUUGUUUCUUAGGUGCGUCUUCUUGGGGGUUCUGUGCUCUGGGACUUCCUUGGUGUCACAGAGGCGGCUGCUGGAGUAGGCAGGGGUUGCUCUGGGCUAGCCUGUGCUCACAGACCUCUUAGACUUGAGGGUUACUGCUCCCCACAGGGUGAAUUUCACCAUAGGAGUGAAUGGGAUUGCUCUGGAGGAGAGAGGGCAGGCAUGAGAGGGGAGAGCAGCGGGUCCCAUACAUCUGCCCAGGACUUGCUGCCCUGGGUGCUGAAUGGUACUGGGACUGGAUGGAGCUGGAUGGCCCUGGAUGGCAGGGGCUCGAUGUUUCUGGCUCUGGGUGGAGGCUGCAUGCCCCUUGCUCUAAGUACCCUGCCCCUGUGUGGAAUCUGCCCCGUGGGGCCUGCUCCCUACUGGUCCCGGUCUCACAGCCCCUCCUUUCUCCAGAAGGAUGCACCUCAGACCCCGUGGGCUGCACCCCAGGGACCUGUGCCUCCGAAGGAUGUGGAUGCCUCUCUCUCGGAGCAGCCUCGGGGUGAAGAGCUGGCCCAGAGCCCCCUGGCCACUGAGGAGGCAGGAGCCACAGACCCUGCCAAGGAUCCUGACAGCCCUGUGGCCGGUCCCCUCAGCCCCUCAAAUGGGGACCAAGUCCAGCCUAUACCUGUGGUGACCCCAGGGACCUCGGCCUAGGAAGAGGCAAUGUGAGAGCUGGGCCCUCGCAGCCUUCCAUGCCACACAGAUGCCGGCCACCUGGGACCUGCAGGGGACAGGGACAGCUGCCACCCACCAGAGUGACAGACCUGCGCUAUGUCCCUCCAACAUGGUGCUCAGCCCUCUGAGGCCUCAAGUCCGUACUCCCUCCAGCUGCACCCCAGCGACCAGCUCUGCUUCGCACCGGGCCGUGAGCUUCGCCUGCUGCCCACUCCAUGCAAGGCCAUGGCUGCCGUUGGUGCUUUGCUGAUGCUCGCCCUGCGGGUGACCCAUGACCGCUCCUCCCUCCAUAGGAUGGGGCUCUCUGGGGCCAGAGCAACAACCCCAUGGAGCAGGCUCCUGUGCUGGGAGCAGCCUUGAGGGGCCUAGAUAGGGGCACCCUGCCCAAGGGCCUGGGCUUAUGCAAGGGGACCAGACCCCUUCAGGAGAGUCCGAGCCGAGAUGGAGUUGAGGUUGCUGGUCACUGCUGCAAGCCAGCAAACAGCGCCAGCUCCAGGUUCUGCAGCCGAGUAGGAGUUGGCCAGGUGUAGAUGGCCACGUCCCCAGCAAAUCGAUCAGCCCAGGUGUGUGAGUCUUCCAUGCAGGGGCCACUGCCCUCUGCCCCAGCAGUGGCUUCUGGACUGGCGUCUGUCCUCUACCUCACCAACCAGGCUCUGGACUCCAGGACAGACCUGCCUGCAGGAGCCCUCCACACAUGCUGCAUGUCACUGAGGCUGAAGCCAAGGUCCCCACAGGCUGUGACCGAUCGGGAGCCAUGGCCACCCACACUUGCAUGGAAAAGGGUGUCUGUUACAGGCUGACAGGCAGUGACAGCUGGGUGGUCCCCCUAGAGCUCUGGGGGGUGGUAGGGGAGGACUCCCUAGGCACCCAGUCUAACCAGAACUGAGGGGCAGAGGAGUGCAGGCCCAGCCACCUGCUUCUGCCAUUGGACUGAGCCAUUUUGUACUGGGUGUCCAAGCAGUCCUGCUCCUCUGAGUGGUGGAGGUGCUCUGCGGGGUGCCCGAGGGCCCUGGCUUUUGGUUGUCAGGGGAUUAAAUACCUUUUCAUACUCA
rnacentral:lncRNA from 1 species